rnacentral:rRNA from 1 species
GUGAGGAAUAUUGCGCAAUGGGGGCAACCCUGACGCAGCGACGCCGCGUGGAUGAUGAAGGCCUUCGGGUUGUAAAAUCCUGUCAGAUGGGAAGAAGUGCAUAGUAUUUAAUACAUGCUAUGUUUGACGGUACCAUCAAAGGAAGCACCGGCUAACUCCGUGCCAGCAGCCGCGGUAAUACGGAGGGUGCAAGCGUUGUUCGGAAUUACUGGGCGUAAAGCGCGCGUAGGUGGCUGUUUAAGUCAGAUGUGAAAGUCCAAGGCUCAACCAUGGAAGUGCAUUUGAAACUGGACAGCUUGAGUACUGGAGGGGGUAGUGGAAUUCCCGGUGUAGAGGUGAAAUUCGUAGAUAUCGGGAGGAAUACCGGUGGCGAAGGCGACUACCUGGCCAGAUACUGACACUGAGGUGCGAAAGCGUGGGGAGCAAACAGGAUUAGAUACCCUAGUAGUCC